UUAUGAUGAGAUAACCAGCUGGCACCAGUCAGAGGAAUUUGGAUAUUCGUAUCCAUUUUCAUUGCUGAUCAAGCUUACCGGUCUGGGAACGCUACCCGGAUCCUGAA
rnacentral:snoRNA from 1 species